rnacentral:rRNA from 1 species
UGAGAGCGGCGNCGGUGAGUAUGCCUAGAAUCUGCCUGGUAGUGGGGAUAACGUACGGAAACGGACGCUAAUACCGCAUACGUCCUACGGGAGAAAGCAGGGGACCUUCGGGCCUUGCGCUAUCAGAUGAGCCUAGGUCGGAUUAGCUAGUUGGUGGGGUAAUGGCUCACCAAGGCGACGAUCCGUAACUGGUCUGAGAGGAUGAUCAGUCACACUGGAACUGAGACACGGUCCAGACUCCUACGGGAGGCAGCAGUGGGGAAUAUUGGACAAUGGGCGAAAGCCUGAUCCAGCCAUGCCGCGUGUGUGAAGAAGGUCUUCGGAUUGUAAAGCACUUUAAGUUGGGAGGAAGGGUUGUAGAUUAAUACUCUGCAAUUUUGACGUUACCGACAGAAUAAGCACCGGCUAACUCUGUGCCAGCAGCCGCGGUAAUACAGAGGGUGCAAGCGUUAAUCGGAAUUACUGGGCGUAAAGCGCGCGUAGGUGGUUAGUUAAGUUGGAUGUGAAAUCCCCGGGCUCAACCUGGGAACUGCAUUCAAAACUGACUGACUAGAGUAUGGUAGAGGGUGGUGGAAUUUCCUGUGUAGCGGUGAAAUGCGUAGAUAUAGGAAGGAACACCAGUGGCGAAGGCGACCACCUGGACUGAUACUGACACUGAGGUGCGAAAGCGUGGGGAGCAAAC